AUAUCAUGAAAUAUCAUCAAUUUCAGCCUCAAUAUCCUCCCUAGAAAAUUCGGCCUCUUGUGGGUUUGUGAAGAACAAAGUGAUUCUUUGCUAGAUUUUCAUACUUUCCAUUACCAAACAACCAAAAACACUUAAUUAGCUUGAAAUCUAGCAAAAUCAAUGCUCAAAACCUCUCCUCUCAAAUUCGGCCAGCAUGAGUUCAUCAU
rnacentral:lncRNA from 1 species